rnacentral:rRNA from 1 species
GACUCUCGGCAACGGAUAUCUCGCUCACGCAUCGAUAAGAACUACAAAAUGCGAUACUUGGUGAAUUGCAGAAUCCCGUGAACCAUCGAGUUUGAACGCAAUUCGCCCGAACCAUCGUUGAGGGCACUCGCCUGGCGUCA